GAUGAAGAACGUAGUGAAAUGCGAUAAGUAAUGUGAAUUGCAGAAUUCAGUGAAUCAUCGAAUCUUUGAACGCACAUUGGGCCCCCUGGUAUUCCGGGGGGCAUGCCUGUCCGAGCGUCAUUACAACCCUCAAGCUCAGCUUGGUGUUGGGCCCCGCCGCCCCGGCGGGCCCUAAAGUCAGUGGCGGUGCCGUCCGGCUCCGAGCGUAGUAAUUCUUCUCGCUCUGGAGGUCCGGUCGUGUGCUCGCCAGCAACCCCCAAUUUUUUUCAGGUUGACCUCGGAUCAGGUAGGGAUACCCGCUGAACUUAAGCAUAUCAAUAAGCGGAGGA
rnacentral:misc_RNA from 1 species